rnacentral:rRNA from 1 species
AGAGUGGCACUAAGCCAUGCGAGUCAACAUAGCAAUAUGUGGCAUACGGCUCAGUAACACGUAGUCAACAUGCCCAGGGGACGUGGAUAACCUCGGGAAACUGAGGAUAAACCACGAUAAGUCACUACUUCUGGAAUGGGUAAUGACUAAAAUCUACAUGGCCCCUGGAUUGGACUGCGGCCGAUCAGGCUGUUGGUGAGGUAAUGGCCCACCAAACCUGUAACCGGUACGGGCUCUGAGAGGAGGAGCCCGGAGAUGGGCACUGAGACAAGGGCCCAGGCCCUAUGGGGCGCAGCAGGCGCGAAACCUCUGCAAUAGGCGAAAGCCUGACAGGGUUACUCUGAGUGAUUUCCGUUAAGGAGAUCUUUUGGCACCUCUAAAAAUGGUGCAGAAUAAGGGGUGGGCAAGUCUGGUGUCAGCCGCCGCGGUAAUACCAGCACCCCGAGUGGUCGGGACGUUUAUUGGGCCUAAAGCAUCCGUAGCCGGUUCUACAAGUCUUCCGUUAAAUCCACCUGCUUAACAGAUGGGCUGCGGAAGAUACUAUAGAGCUAGGAGGCGGGAGAGGCAAGCGGUACUCGAUGGGUAGGGGUAAAAUCCGUUGAUCCAUUGAAGACCACCAGUGGCGAAGGCGGCUUGCCAGAACGCGCUCGACGGUGAGGGAUGAAAGCUGGGGGAGCAAACCGGAUUAGAUACCCGGGUAGUCCCAGCUGUAAACGAUGCAGACUCGGUGAUGAGUUGGCUUUAUGCCAACUCAGUGCCGCAGGGAAGCCGUUAAGUUUGCCGCCUGGGGAG